GGUUAAGCGACUAAGCGUACACGGUGGAUGCCCUGGCAGUCAGAGGCGAUGAAGGACGUGCUAAUCUGCGAUAAGCGUCGGUAAGGUGAUAUGAACCGUUAUAACCGGCGAUUUCCGAAUGGGGAAACCCAGUGUGUUUCGACACACUAUCAUUAACUGAAUCCAUAGGUUAAUGAGGCGAACCGGGGGAACUGAAACAUCUAAGUACCCCGAGGAAAAGAAAUCAACCGAGAUUCCCCCAGUAGCGGCGAGCGAACGGGGAGCAGCCCAGAGCCUGAAUCAGUGUGUGUGUUAGUGGAAGCGUCUGGAAAGGCGCGCGAUACAGGGUGACAGCCCCGUACACAAAAAUGCACAUAUUGUGAGCUCGAUGAGUAGGGCGGGACACGUGGUAUCCUGUCUGAAUAUGGGGGGACCAUCCUCCAAGGCUAAAUACUCCUGACUGACCGAUAGUGAACCAGUACCGUGAGGGAAAGGCGAAAAGAACCCCGGCGAGGGGAGUGAAAAAGAACCUGAAACCGUGUACGUACAAGCAGUGGGAGCCUCUUUUAUGGGGUGACUGCGUACCUUUUGUAUAAUGGGUCAGCGACUUAUAUUCUGUAGCAAGGUUAACCGAAUAGGGGAGCCGAAGGGAAACCGAGUCUUAACUGGGCGUUAAGUUGCAGGGUAUAGACCCGAAACCCGGUGAUCUAGCCAUGGGCAGGUUGAAGGUUGGGUAACACUAACUGGAGGACCGAACCGACUAAUGUUGAAAAAUUAGCGGAUGACUUGUGGCUGGGGGUGAAAGGCCAAUCAAACCGGGAGAUAGCUGGUUCUCCCCGAAAGCUAUUUAGGUAGCGCCUCGUGAAUUCAUCUCCGGGGGUAGAGCACUGUUUCGGCAAGGGGGUCAUCCCGACUUACCAACCCGAUGCAAACUGCGAAUACCGGAGAAUGUUAUCACGGGAGACACACGGCGGGUGCUAACGUCCGUCGUGAAGAGGGAAACAACCCAGACCGCCAGCUAAGGUCCCAAAGUCAUGGUUAAGUGGGAAACGAUGUGGGAAGGCCCAGACAGCCAGGAUGUUGGCUUAGAAGCAGCCAUCAUUUAAAGAAAGCGUAAUAGCUCACUGGUCGAGUCGGCCUGCGCGGAAGAUGUAACGGGGCUAAACCAUGCACCGAAGCUGCGGCAGCGACACUAUGUGUUGUUGGGUAGGGGAGCGUUCUGUAAGCCUGUGAAGGUGUACUGUGAGGUAUGCUGGAGGUAUCAGAAGUGCGAAUGCUGACAUAAGUAACGAUAAAGCGGGUGAAAAGCCCGCUCGCCGGAAGACCAAGGGUUCCUGUCCAACGUUAAUCGGGGCAGGGUGAGUCGACCCCUAAGGCGAGGCCGAAAGGCGUAGUCGAUGGGAAACAGGUUAAUAUUCCUGUACUUGGUGUUACUGCGAAGGGGGGACGGAGAAGGCUAUGUUGGCCGGGCGACGGUUGUCCCGGUUUAAGCGUGUAGGCUGGUUUUCCAGGCAAAUCCGGAAAAUCAAGGCUGAGGCGUGAUGACGAGGCACUACGGUGCUGAAGCAACAAAUGCCCUGCUUCCAGGAAAAGCCUCUAAGCAUCAGGUAACAUCAAAUCGUACCCCAAACCGACACAGGUGGUCAGGUAGAGAAUACCAAGGCGCUUGAGAGAACUCGGGUGAAGGAACUAGGCAAAAUGGUGCCGUAACUUCGGGAGAAGGCACGCUGAUAUGUAGGUGAAGUCCCUCGCGGAUGGAGCUGAAAUCAGUCGAAGAUACCAGCUGGCUGCAACUGUUUAUUAAAAACACAGCACUGUGCAAACACGAAAGUGGACGUAUACGGUGUGACGCCUGCCCGGUGCCGGAAGGUUAAUUGAUGGGGUCAGCGCAAGCGAAGCUCUUGAUCGAAGCCCCGGUAAACGGCGGCCGUAACUAUAACGGUCCUAAGGUAGCGAAAUUCCUUGUCGGGUAAGUUCCGACCUGCACGAAUGGCGUAAUGAUGGCCAGGCUGUCUCCACCCGAGACUCAGUGAAAUUGAACUCGCUGUGAAGAUGCAGUGUACCCGCGGCAAGACGGAAAGACCCCGUGAACCUUUACUAUAGCUUGACACUGAACAUUGAGCCUUGAUGUGUAGGAUAGGUGGGAGGCUUAGAAGUGUGGACGCCAGUCUGCAUGGAGCCGACCUUGAAAUACCACCCUUUAAUGUUUGAUGUUCUAACGUUGACCCGUAAUCCGGGUUGCGGACAGUGUCUGGUGGGUAGUUUGACUGGGGCGGUCUCCUCCUAAAGAGUAACGGAGGAGCACGAAGGUUGGCUAAUCCUGGUCGGACAUCAGGAGGUUAGUGCAAUGGCAUAAGCCAGCUUGACUGCGAGCGUGACGGCGCGAGCAGGUGCGAAAGCAGGUCAUAGUGAUCCGGUGGUUCUGAAUGGAAGGGCCAUCGCUCAACGGAUAAAAGGUACUCCGGGGAUAACAGGCUGAUACCGCCCAAGAGUUCAUAUCGACGGCGGUGUUUGGCACCUCGAUGUCGGCUCAUCACAUCCUGGGGCUGAAGUAGGUCCCAAGGGUAUGGCUGUUCGCCAUUUAAAGUGGUACGCGAGCUGGGUUUAGAACGUCGUGAGACAGUUCGGUCCCUAUCUGCCGUGGGCGCUGGAGAACUGAGGGGGGCUGCUCCUAGUACGAGAGGACCGGAGUGGACGCAUCACUGGUGUUCGGGUUGUCAUGCCAAUGGCACUGCCCGGUAGCUAAAUGCGGAAGAGAUAAGUGCUGAAAGCAUCUAAGCACGAAACUUGCCCCGAGAUGAGUUCUCCCUGACUCCUUGAGAGUCCUGAAGGAACGUUGAAGACGACGACGUUGAUAGGCCGGGUGUGUAAGCGCAGCGAUGCGUUGAGCUAACCGGUACUAAUGAACCGUGAGGCUUAACCUU
rnacentral:rRNA from 1 species